CUGGAGUCCUCUUGCUUUAAAGUUGCAUUAAUGCAACUUUCCUGAAUUGCUUCCAGCACCUGUCAGAAAGUGACGUGGCAUCCAAAUGCAUUUGUAGUGCACUUCUGAGCUUCUGUAUUCUGUGUGGACCAGUCAGCUGGAAAUGUAUAUUUGAAGUUUGCACAUGGAAAUGUUUAUCUGGAGCACGCCCCACUCUGCAUCACAGCCAUCUGAUGGGGCCCGUGCUGGUUUUUCUCUGUAUCUGUCUGUGUUGCAUUGGUGAUGUCAGUAAGCACAAGCUGGAAAUGGCAUACAGAUUGUUUUAAUUUGCACCAAGGACAAACUUUGCCUCUAUGAAUAAGAAAGCAUUUUUGAAAACAUCCUACCUCUACUGAACUGACUGCUCCUAGUUUCCAGUUCUACAGUAUGUUGUCAGCAGGAUCAGAGCUGGGCCUACAAGCACUCUGCUCUGCCCCAGGCCAUGCUGCUGGCAUGAUGCAGGACACGGAGCUGUGCUGGAGAGCCUGAGCAGCCCCAGUGAGCGUACCAGAGGCUACUGAAGGAAGAAAGUGGAAUUCUGGGCAGUUCAGAGCUGUUGAGGAGAACCUCGCAAUGCUCAACAAUUCCCGAGCAGCCUGCUGUAAAUCUUGUAGCCAGUUCAGCUUUCAGAGGGAGCCAGAAGAGAUUUGUAGAGUUUGGCAGUAGUGUCGUUCCUGAGGAAGACUGGAGAAAGAAAACUCAGAAUCACGGCUAUGAACAGCUCUUUAGAAAUGAAUGGCUAACUCGAGGAAGUCUUGCACACUUGCAGUGCCGUGACGUUCUGCCAUCCGGAGGGGAAUUAAUCGCUGAGUAGCAUGAAGACUGCACAGCACAGACAACAGGCAUGGUCCAGACCUCAAGGGACUAAUUAUGUUCUUAAAGGGUAAGAAAAUAAUCUGAGGUGCACAGGAAAGAAAGUGUCCUAGUAAUGCUCCGUAAUGCUCAUGUUCCCAGAGUUACUGGUGUAUCU
rnacentral:lncRNA from 1 species